GGCUGACCCUCUGCAUAUCCCCAUUCCAAGCAGGAGGUCACCAGCUGUGUUCUGGCCUUGGGAUUCUAAGCAGUUAACUCCUUGCUUAAUGACACCAGGGAGCACUUCCUUCACGGGGACACUGAGGAGAAAGGUGACAUCAGGCUGCUUUUCUCUCUCCUCUUGCUUACCCACCCCUUCCUCCAGAGGGAGUCACUGAGGUCUCCAGGACUGGCAGUCUGGGGAGGUGGGGGUGGGGUAUGGGGAGCAGGGUUGUAAGAGGCAGAAACAGCCUCAGUCCUAGAAGGUUCUUAUGGGAGACCUGAGACACAAGGGACCCUGAAGAGAUACUCAGGCCUAACUCAUGGACUCUUCAGCCUGGAAGUGGACACCUGGGAGUUUAAAGCUGCCUUCUGGGACCUCUGAGAAUUGUGCUCCAGGGAAAUGCUUCGAGCGGCACGGGGUUAUUCUGAUUUCACCCUAUGUUCUUCUUGCCAGCUCAUCAGCUGCCAGAGGCAGGUCUGAGGACUCAGAGUUAGCACCCAGACUGGACACCCUUGAAGGCCCUAGUGAUGAUAUACGCUCCAAAGAGUCUCCCAGGCCCCUGCCCCAGGAAGAAGAGCUCCCCUGAAGGACACAGCAGGCUGACCUGAUGGGUUUAGUGGGGUCAGUCCGGGUCAUCUUCUGCUCCAGCGGGAUCUGCUCCCACUUGAAAUGCAGACUCCAGUCAAACCCUACAGGCAAAGCAGAGUGGGAGUGGGAUGGCUUUGGACGUUCUUUUCCACCCUUUAGUCUCUUCUGAUCAGAGUGGGAUCCCAGAAGCCAUUGUACUGUACUGACACGGACACCUGUGCCAGCCUACUGAGAAGACAAAUGCUACAAAGUGUAUUUUGCAAAGUGCUAAAGAGCAAAUAACAACAUGAAGUAUCCAUAUUAUAGCAAGGUUAGUCAACAAAACUCCGACAAGUUGCUUUUUAACCAAGCAUGGGAAUAAAGACUAUGCUCCAUAUGGACAUCUGGGAAAAGGAAAUUCCAGACACGGGCAGCAGCAAGUGGGUGCUGGUUUGGACGAGAAUGACUUCCACAGGCUUAUCUAUCUGAACACUUGGUCCCCAGAUGAAACUGUUCUGGGGCAGGGGAUUAGGAGCUGUGGCCUUGUUGGCGGAAGUUUGCCCCUAAAGGUGGGCUUCAAGGCUUUAAAAGCCCAUGCCAGGCCCAGUUCGCUCUCUCUCUGCCUCUUGCUUUUGGAUCAUCUGUGAGCUCUCAGCUACUGCUCCAGCACCAUGCGUGCCUGCCUGCCGCCAC
rnacentral:lncRNA from 1 species